rnacentral:rRNA from 1 species
GACAGAGGUGCCAAGCGUUAGGCGGAAUCACUGGGCUUAAAGCGCGUGUAGGUGGCGGCCUAAGUACCUUGUGAAAUCCUGCGGCUCAACCGCAGAACUGCUCGGUAUACUGGGUCGCUUGAGCCAUCCAGGGGCAACUGGAACAAGCGGUGGAGCGGUGAAAUGCGCAGAUAUCAGGAGGAACACCGGUGGCGAAGGCGGGUCUCUGGGCCAUUACUGACGCUGAGGAGCGAAAGCGUGGGGAGCGAACAGG